UCCGGGGCUGAGUUCUGUGCA
rnacentral:miRNA from 1 species